rnacentral:pre_miRNA from 1 species
GUGUUUGAGGAUGCAACAUCAUCAAGAUUCACAAAACUUGAAGGGAGAAUUAUUUAAUUAUAUAUUUAGGUUGAAUAUUGGAUAUAUAUAAUAUAGUUCAAAUCUCUUCUCUUCUCUCUUUGGGAAUCUUGAUGAUGCUGCAUCAUCUAACAU